GAUGAACGCUGGCGGCGUGCCUAAUACAUGCAAGUCGAGCGAACGGACGAGAAGCUUGCUUCUCUGAUGUUAGCGGCGGACGGGUGAGUAACACGUGGAUAACCUACCUAUAAGACUGGGAUAACUUCGGGAAACCGGAGCUAAUACCGGAUAAUAUUUUGAACCGCAUGGUUCAAAAGUGAAAGACGGUCUUACUGUCACUUAUAGAUGGAUCCGCGCUGCAUUAGCUAGUUGGUAAGGUAACGGCUUACCAAGGCAACGAUGCAUAGCCGACCUGAGAGGGUGAUAGGCCACCCUGGAACUGAGACACGGUCCAGACUCCUACGGGAGGCAGCAGUAGGGAAUCUUCCGCAAUGGGCGAAAGCCUGACGGAGCAACGCCGCGUGAGUGAUGAAGGUCUUCGGAUCGUAAAACUCUGUUAUUAGGGAAGAACAUAUGUGUAAGUAACUGUGCACAUCUUGACGGUACCUAAUCAGAAAGCCACGGCUAACUACGUG
rnacentral:rRNA from 1 species